rnacentral:rRNA from 1 species
UACGGAGGGUGCGAGCGUUGUCCGGAAUCACUGGGCGUAAAGGGCGCGUAGGUGGCGUCGCAAGUCAACGGUGAAAGCUCGGCGCUCAACGCCGAGUCGGCCGUCGAAACUGCGAGGCUGGAGCACUGUAGAGGCAGGUGGAAUUCCGGGUGUAGCGGUGGAAUGCGUAGAUAUUGGGAGGAACACCAGUGGCGAAGGCGGCUCACUGGACCGGUACUGACGCUGAUGCGCGAAAGCGUGGGGAGCAAACAGG